GGUCGUAUUCGUUACCGCGAUCGCAAACACUACGAACGCUAACUACGAAAAAAUCGUGUAUACGCACGGCUUUCAAAAGACGCAAACUACGCGAAUACGAAAAGAACGGAUUGGAAAAAAUUCUGGAAAAGUAUUAAAAUCCCGUGAAAAAUACACCAGGAAGAUGAUGGUCAACCCGAAUCCAGAUGAAGAAAAAAUAUCGGAAAUCAAAACCAAACUGGCCGACGCUUAUUCGUUUAGGGAUUUCCUGAAAACCGAAAACGAAAAUUUAAAAGCAAUAUUCAUGGCCAACUAUAAUAAUAUGUCUGCGGAGGAGGAGGAGGAGAAGGUGGAGGAGGAGGAGGAGGAGGAUAAAUAAUAUUGUAUUAUACAUCGGCUAUACGGACCGAAAAUCUAAAAAUUUUUUCAAGUUUGUCGAACCGGUGCACCUAACCUAACCGUUCGCCAUUGUGAACAUAUUUUUCACUAAAAUCGAUUAUAAACAAAAUUAAAUUGACAUACUUACUGUCUUUAAGAUUUACUAAAGAUCACAAAAAUAAUAUUAAGAAAACAAUGUGAAAAUAGAUAAUAAAA
rnacentral:misc_RNA from 1 species